UCUCAGCCCUGUGGGGACAAAGAAGCUGACUAUGGGGUGGGGAGGGAGUCCCUCUUGCCUGAGCCACCAGGUCCAGGAAGCCUCUCAGUGGAGGAACUACAUCUCAAGCCUGGGUACAGAGCUUUGCCCUUGGCUCUUUAUGGGGAAUGGGGUUCUCCAAUUGAUCCCCCUAGCAUGUAGUGUUCUAGGAACUCUCAUCCAUACAGGGAGGGAAGAGCCUACAAGUGUCUCCUACGGAAUUUGUCUUUGCUGGACACUUCACAGAAAUGGAAUCGUACAGUAAAUGGUGCUUUAUGACCGGCUUCUUUUGCUUUGCGAGUCAUCAAGAUUCACCCAUGUCUAUAUGUGCUACUGAAACAAGCACCUUGGUAUCCAAAUCUGACCUCCAAGUUUGGACGUCUUGCUCACAUUUUAUACAGGAAGUUGACUCACCCUCUGCAUAUGUGCCCGCAAAGACCUGAGAGGGAGCACAAAGAGGUUCCCAAGUGCUGUCCUACCUGAGAGCAGUCAGGGGACACCCCACUCUCUCCAACUCUGAGGAUCAACCACACAAGCAUAUACUGAGCCUGAUUGGUUUUAUUCUUAGGAAAUAAAGGUGGAUUAAUUGA